rnacentral:rRNA from 1 species
UACGUAGGGUGCAAGCGUUAAUCGGAAUUACUGGGCGUAAAGCGUGCGCAGGCGGUUUUGUAAGCCAGAUGUGAAAUCCCCGGGCUUAACCUGGGAAUGGCAUUUGGGACUGCAAGGCUUGAGUGCGGCAGAGGAGACUAGAAUUCCUGGUGUAGCAGUGAAAUGCGUAGAUAUCAGGAGGAAUACCGAUGGCGAAGGCGGCUCACUGGUCCGGUACUGACGCUGAGGUGCGAAAGCGUGGGGAGCAAACAGG